UUUGACCCCGGUAUGAAUGGUGUCACGAGGGUCUCACUGUCUUAAGAAAAUUUCCAGUGAAAUUGAAUUUGUAGUGAAGAUGCUACAUCCAAUUGUUAGACAAGAAGUCCCCAUGGAACUUUACUGGAGACUUAUGAGGCUUAAAUUAAUUUAUUUCUUACAAAUAAAUAGUUUUAAAAUGUGGUGUUAACCUCUCGGGUAACCUAGGGUUAGAAAAGCUCACUCUUUUAUUUAAAGAAAGCCAACUCAAAGAAUUAUGUCUUUGGGAUUUGAUAAGUGGGACAGUUUGGUUGGGGCGACCGCCUUUAAAAAAGUAACGAAGGCGGGCUUAAGAUACAUAUUUAGUGAUGUCUGACUGCCAAGGGGAGAUCCUGAGCAGACACUUCUUUUUGAGGUGGGUUUAAGUGACCCGUUAAUUUAGGGUGAAAUAGUUAAACGAUAACAGAUCAAAGUUACCCUG
rnacentral:rRNA from 1 species